rnacentral:rRNA from 1 species
UACGAAGGGGGCUAGCGUUGUUCGGAAUUACUGGGCGUAAAGGGCGCGUAGGCGGUGUGUCAAGUCAGGCGUGAAAGCCCCGGGCUCAACCUGGGAACCGCGCUUGAGACUGGCACGCUCGAGUUCGGGAGAGGAUGGUGGAAUUCCCAGUGUAGAGGUGAAAUUCGUAGAUAUUCGGAGGAACACCAGAAGCGAAGGCGGCCAACUGGCCCGAUACUGACGCUGAGGCGCGAAAGCUAGGGGAGCAAACGGG